rnacentral:rRNA from 1 species
UGGGGAAUUUUGCGCAAUGGACGAAAGUCUGACGCAGCGACGCCGCGUGUGCGAUGAAGGCCUUUGGGUCGUAAAGCACUGUCGACCGGGACGAAAACUCACGGACUAAUACUUCGUGAGUCUGACGGUACUGGUAAAGGAAGCACCGGCUAACUCUGUGCCAGCAGCCGCGGUAAUACAGAGGGUGCAAACGUUGCUCGGAAUUAUUGGGCGUAAAGCGCGUGUAGGCGGGUCGUUAAGUUGGGGGUGAAAUCCCGAGGCUCAACCUCGGAACUGCCUUCAAAACUGGCGACCUGGACUCAAGCAGAGGCAAGUGGAAUUGCGAGUGUAGAGGUGAAAUUCGUAGAUAUUCGCAGGAACACCAGUGGCGAAGGCGACUUGCUGGGCUUGUAGUGACGCUGAGACGCGAAAGCGUGGGGAGCAAACAGGAUUAGAUACCCCCGUAGUCCCUGAGCGGGCUGGCAAGGCGCAU